AAAAGUGUUGCUCUAAUUUUCUUCCUACUUUGAGGUUUUUGGUGAUUCAUUUCUCUUUGGAAUAAUUGUUUGGUUUGAUCUCAUACUUAAAUUGCUCUGCAUUUCUCAUAAGAUGUCAGUAUGCUGAAAGCUCGCUGGUUCCAGCAAUAUGCCAAUGUUAAUUUUGCAUUUGAACUGGUUACUGUGUGCAAGCCAAACAUUAACAGGGGUGGUUGCAAAUGUCUCAAUCUUUUUGCAAAGAAUGUUGACUUUUUUUUUUUUAAUGGUGUUGUUUAUGGAUACAGUAAUAGGAAACUUAUUUUUGCACACAAUGGAGGCUACACCUGUGAUACAAUACAAGGCCUCUAUGGAGUCAUAAGGCCGUUCAGAAAGGCUUCCAACUCCUUGCAGGCCUUGAAGAAGUUGCUCACCUGUGAAAGCUUUGCCAGUAGAAACUUGUUUGAAGGAAAGCAGAUCCAGAUAGCUCUUGUGGGCAGUCAUUCUGUUGACACUCAGGAGUUGCAGAAGAGGACAAGAGGAGGAUGAGAGUGGGGAUGCCUCAAAAAGCAAAUACUGAAAGAGGUAAGUGUUUUAUAAGCUCUUCUUGCCUGACAUAGAUAACAGGGAUAGUUAUUUAUAGUUAUUCUUUAGGGGAAAAAAAUUGUUUAAAAAUGUUGCUAAGGCUUCUGGUGGAUACAAAUGGUGGUCAAUGUGACUUUUUUUUUUUUCUUCUAAAAAAUAAAAUACAAAUGGGGAUGGUUAAGUUGGUGUAU
rnacentral:lncRNA from 1 species